AUGAGCGCUCCCCCCUCCUCCUCCCCCUCCCCCGCUCCGAUCCCCCAGCCCGCCGCAACCCUAGCCCCCGCCAGCAUGCGCGGCGCGGCGGCGGACGACGACUCCUCCGGCUCGUCGCCGUCGCGGAUGUCGGAGGACGACGACGACGGCGACGGCGGGGCGGGACGGGGCGACAGGUGGGCGCCGGAUCUGAGGGGCGGCAACGGCAACGGCGGGAGGUGGGCGCCGCCGGACCAGGUGCUGGAGAACGUGCUGGAGAGCGUGCUCGAGUUCCUCACGGCGGCGCGCGACCGCAACGCGGCCUCGCUCGUCUGCCGCUCCUGGUACCGCGCCGAGGCGCAGACCCGCCGCGAGCUCUUCAUCGGCAACUGCUACGCCGUCUCGCCGCGCCGCGCCGUCGAGCGCUUCGGGGGCGUGCGCGCCGUCGUGCUCAAGGGGAAGCCCCGCUUCGCCGACUUCAGCCUCGUGCCGCACGGCUGGGGCGCCUACGUCUCCCCCUGGGUCGCCGCGCUCGGCCCCGCCUACCCGCGCCUCGAGCGCAUCUGCCUCAAGCGGAUGACCGUCUCCGACGACGAGCUCGCGCUCAUCCCCAAGUCCUUCCCGCUCUUCAAGGAGCUCUCGCUCGUCUGCUGCGACGGCUUCACCACCCGCGGCCUCGCCGUCAUCGCCGAGGGCUGCCGGCAUCUUCGGGUACUGGAUCUGACUGAAGAUUAUUUCCAUGAGGAGGAGAGCGAGGUGGUGGAUUGGAUCUCCAAGUUUCCAGAGAGCAACACGUCGCUGGAAUCGCUUGUAUUUGAUUGUGUUAGUGUCCCAUUCAACUUUGAGGCCCUGGAGGCACUUGUUGCACGCUCACCAGCUCUGCGUCGUCUGCGCGUCAAUGAUCAUGUGUCGAUAGAGCAGUUGCGUCGUCUCAUGGCAAGGGCACCCCAUCUAACUCACCUUGGCACUGGAUCAUUCCGAUCUGAGCCAGGCCCUGGGGGUGCUUUGUCUGUGUCUGAGCUCGCUACCUCUUUCGCGGCGUCCAGAUCACUUGUUUGUUUGUCAGGUUUCUUGGAUGCCAAUGCAGCAUACCUCCCAGCAAUCUACCAAGUUUGUGCCAAUCUCACUUCCCUCAAUUUUAGCUUUGCGGGUCUAACAGAUGAAGAGUUCAUACCAGUUAUUCGCCAUUGCAUCAAUCUUCGCACUUUAUGGGUUCUUGAUACUGUGGGUGAUGAAGGCCUUAGGGCUGUGGCUGAAACAUGCUCAAAUCUCCGUGAGCUACGUGUUUUUCCUCUGGAUGCCACCGAGGAUUCUGAGGGCUCAGUCUCAGAUAUUGGUCUCCAGGCAAUCUCAGAAGGCUGCCGAAAGCUCGAAUCAAUUCUCUACUUUUGCCAGCGCAUGACAAAUGCAGCAGUAAUUGCUAUGUCCGAGAACUGCCCUGACCUUUUGGUGUUCCGCCUCUGUAUUAUGGGCCGCCACCGCCCUGAUCGGAUUACCGGGGCGCCCAUGGAUGAGGGUUUUGGGGCGAUUGUGAUGAACUGCAAGAAGCUCACCAGACUCUCAGUCUCUGGCCUGCUCACUGAUAAGGCGUUUGCAUACAUUGGGAGACACGGAAAACUCAUAAAGACUCUGUCUGUUGCCUUUGCUGGGAAUAGUGACAUGUCUCUUCAGCAUGUGUUUGAGGGGUGCACUAGGUUGCAGAAGCUCGAGGUCAGAGAUAGCCCUUUUGGCGACAAAGGAUUGCUCUCUGGCCUGAACUAUUUUUACAACAUGAGGUUCUUUUGGAUGAACUCAUGCAGGCUAACUGUGAAGGGUUGUGGGGAUGUAGCUCAGCAAAUGCCUAAUCUGGUGGUUGAAGUAAUGAAGGAAAAUGAAGGGGAAAUGGAUACCGUUGAUAAGCUGUACCUGUAUCGAUCGUUGGCAGGACCAAGGGAAGAUGCUCCAUCAUUUGUCAACAUCUUGUAG
rnacentral:rRNA from 1 species